CACGUAGGGUGCGAGCGUUGUCCGGAAUUAUUGGGCGUAAAGAGCUCGUAGGCGGUGUGUCGCGUCGGCCGUGAAAACUUGCAGCUUAACUGUGGGCGUGCGGUCGAUACGGGCAUCACUGGAGUUCGGCAGGGGAGACUGGAAUUCCUGGUGUAGCGGUGAAAUGCGCAGAUAUCAGGAGGAACACCGGUGGCGAAGGCGGGUCUCUGGGCCGUAACUGACGCUGAGGAGCGAAAGCGUGGGGAGCGAACAGGAUUAGAACCUAC
rnacentral:rRNA from 1 species